rnacentral:rRNA from 1 species
UACGUAGGGGGCGAGCGUUGUCCGGAUUUAUUGGGCGUAAAGAGCUCGUAGGCGGCUUGGCAAGUCGGGUGUGAAAACUUCAGGCUUAACCUGGAGAUUGCAUUCGAUACUGCUAUGGCUAGAGUCCGGUAGGGGACCACGGAAUUCCUGGUGUAGCGGUGAAAUGCGCAGAUAUCAGGAGGAACACCGGUGGCGAAGGCGGUGGUCUGGGCCGGCACUGACGCUGAGGAGCGAAAGCGUGGGGAGCAAACAGG